AUUGAACGCUGGCGGCAGGCUUAACACAUGCAAGUCGAGCGGUAGCACAGGGGAGCUUGCUCCCUGGGUGACGAGCGGCGGACGGGUGAGUAAUGUCUGGGAAACUGCCUGAUGGAGGGGGAUAACUACUGGAAACGGUAGCUAAUACCGCAUAACGUCGCAAGACCAAAGAGGGGGACCUUCGGGCCUCUUGCCAUCAGAUGUGCCCAGAUGGGAUUAGCUAGUAGGUGGGGUAACGGCUCACCUAGGCGACGAUCCCUAGCUGGUCUGAGAGGAUGACCAGCCACACUGGAACUGAGACACGGUCCAGACUCCUACGGGAGGCAGCAGUGGGGAAUAUUGCACAAUGGGCGCAAGCCUGAUGCAGCCAUGCCGCGUGUGUGAAGAAGGCCUUCGGGUUGUAAAGCACUUUCAGCGAGGAGGAAGGUGGUGAGCUUAAUACGUUCAUCAAUUGACGUUACUCGCAGAAGAAGCACCGGCUAACUCCGUG
rnacentral:rRNA from 1 species